rnacentral:rRNA from 1 species
CCAAUAGCGUAUAUUAAAGUUGUUGUGGUUAAAAAGCUCGUAGUUGAACCUUGGGCCUGGCCGUCCGGUCCGCCUCACCGCGUGUACUGGCUCGGCCGGGCCUUUCCCUCUGUGGAACCCCAUGCCCUUCACUGGGCGUGGCGGGGAAACAGGACUUUUACUGUGAAAAAAUUAGAGUGCUCCAGGCAGGCCUAUGCUCGAAUACAUUAGCAUGGAAUAAUAGAAUAGGACGUGUGGUUCUAUUUUGUUGGUUUCUAGGACCGCCGUAAUGAUUAAUAGGGACAGUCGGGGGCAUCAGUAUCCAGUUGUCAGAGGUGAAAUUCUUGGAUUUAUUGAAGACUAACUACUGCGAAAGCAUUUGCCAAGGAUGUUUUCAUUAAUCAGGAACGAAAGUUAGGGGAUCGAAGACGAUCAGAUACCGUCGUAGUCUUAACCAUAAACUAUGCCGACUAGGGAUCGGACGGUGUUAUUUUUUGACCCGUUCGGCACCUUACG